rnacentral:rRNA from 1 species
GUAGUCAUAUGCUUGUCUCAAAGAUUAAGCCAUGCAUGUCUAAGUAUAAGCACUUGUACUGUGAAACUGCGAAUGGCUCAUUAAAUCAGUUAUCGUUUAUUUGAUUGUACCAUUUACUACUUGGAUAACCGUGGUAAUUCUAGAGCUAAUACAUGCGAAAAGUCCCGACUUCUGGAAGGGAUGUAUUUAUUAGAUUCAAAACCAAUGCGGGUUCGGCCCGGUUGUUUGGUGAUUCAUAGUAACUGUUCGAAUCGCACGGCCUUGCGCUGGCGAUGUUUCAUUCAAAUUUCUGCCCUAUCAACUGUCGAUGGUAAGGUAUUGGCUUACCAUGGUUACAACGGGUAACGGGGAAUG